GGGCCUGCCGCCGCCACCGCCUCAGGGAAGAGGAAGGAGGCCGCGGCUUCGCGUCCCGCCUCUCGCCUGGCUGGCCGUGGGGGGCCUGGACGCAGUGGCCUCCCGAAUCUCCCAGGACCCUAAUAUCGCCCGAGGAUGCUGGGAGGAACGCUGAGCCGACCUCUCCGUUAGGCUGAAGAUUGCACAAACCAUGCUAAUGGCCAGCAUGGAUGGAGGGAGCGUGUGAGAUGUGUGGGGCAGCGUGCUGCAUCUCAGCCAACUCCAGGAGCCAGUUGAUGUGAUGGACUACCUUAAUUGAUUUUUGAAUGUUGAGCCAGCCUUAUGCAUGUGGGAUAAACCCCUGUUGAUCAUGGCUGGCUGGAGUGCAGUGGUGCAAUCAUGGCUCACUGCAACCUCAAAUUCCUGGGCUCAAGGGAUCCUCCUGCCUCAGCCUCCCAAGUAGCUAGGACUACAGGAAGCAUGCUCAUGGCAAUACCCGGAGUCUCCACUGCAAGACCAGAGUGACGGAGGCAGCAGAGCUCCUCAGCAGGCCAGGAGUCUCCAGAGGCACUGCCGAAUGUCUAAGAAGCAACCUCAUUGUAUUCCCAAGACCUGGGAAUCCAGGUCUCGCAGAUACGAUGAUACAAUCUAUAGCCAGGACAUCUCUUCAUGUGUAGGAUAAGCAACUAUCCCAGUCUUCCCAGGAUUGAGGGGCUUCUCCAGAUGCUGCACUUCUGGUGCUAAAAAUGAGAAACUGAAAUGAAUUAGUCACCCAAGGAAUGCUGACCCUGUGCUAUAUGAUCACAUUUACUCUUUAAAGCAAUGCUUUGAGAACAAUUGAGCUGCAUAGUCCCUGCAAUCUUAUAAAGGCAUUUGGCCUGGAAGAUGCUCUGCAGCCAUGUGCCAAGAAUAACGGCUAUAGGGACAAUGUUUCAUUAACCCCAAAGCAGCAACCUGAACCUCUUACUGUACAAUAUCUGCUCCGUUCAGAAUUAGCUCGACUUGAGUCACAGGAUGAAGCUUACCAAAAGGAAUUUCCACGUCCAAGGAAGGAACCAAGAUCACUGAGAGGUUAUAGUAUGAAAAGUGAAGAGAAAAAACCUAUUCUAAACAUUUUAUUAAUUGUCAAUAAUUAUUUUAAAAUAUUUAAUAUAGUCUCCUACCUGGUCCACUGGCAUCAAGCUGCCAAAUUUACACGGUCACUUUGGGAAGCCAGCUGGCAGGCAAACAUGGAAAGUGCUGGCUCCUAGCGUAGUGAGAAGACCACAGAUAGAUGGUAAUUUUCUUCUUUGUUUUAUUUUUCUUUUUCUUCUCUCCCUCUUUUUCUUCCCUCUUGCCUUUCCCUCCCAUUGCCCACUUUCUUUUUUUGGCUGCCGAAGAUUUAUUGCCUUUCAGUACUUAUAGAUGAUGUUUUCAUAAGUUCUAAUGAGGUCCCAGCAGUUUUUAACAAUAACAGGACAUUACUGUUCCUAAGAUAUAUUAUGUGUUUUCCCUCAUCUUUCUCCCUUGAAUGAAAUGCUUAGAAGUAGGCUAACCCCCAAUUCCCUUCCCUUUACUAUGAUAAAUGGCUCCAUUACUUAAUAGGGCUAAAUACUCUGCUGUGACUUUUAUACUGCUGAUUUGAAUAAAAUCUUACGAAAAGCUUUUCUCGUGU
rnacentral:lncRNA from 10 species